rnacentral:rRNA from 1 species
GACGAACGCUGGCGGCGUGCUUAACACGUGCAAGUCGAACGGAAAGGCCCUGCUUUUGUGGGGUGCUCGAGUGGCGAACGGGUGAGUAACACGUGAGUAACCUGCCCUUGACUUUGGGAUAACUUCAGGAAACUGGGGCUAAUACAGGAUAGGAGCUCCUGCUGCACGGUGGGGGUUGGAAAGAUUCGGCGGUUGGGGAUGGACUCGCGGCUUAUCAGCUUGUUGGUGGGGUAGUGGCUUACCAAGGCUUUGACGGGUAGCCGGCCUGAGAGGGGGACCGGCCACAUUGGGACUGAGAUACGGCCCAGACUCCUACGGGAGGCAGCAGUGGGGAAUAUUGCACAAUGGGCGGAAGCCUGAUGCAGCAACGCCGCGUGCGGGAUGACGGCCUUCUGGUUGUAAACCGCUUUCGCCUGUGACGAAGCGUGAGUGACGGUAAUGGGUAAAGAAGCACCGGCUAACUACGUG